rnacentral:rRNA from 1 species
UACGGGGGGUGCGAGCGUUGUCCGGAAUCACUGGGCGUAAAGGGCGCGUAGGCGGGCCACCAAGUCCGGGGUGAAAUCCUCCAGCUCAACUGGAGAACUGCCUCGGAUACUGGAGGUCUCGAGGGAGAUAGGGGCACGCGGAACUGUGGGUGGAGCGGUGAAAUGCGUUGAUAUCCAUAGGAACUCCGGUGGCGAAGGCGGCGUGCUGGAUCUCUUCUGACGCUGAGGCGCGAAAGCCAGGGGAUCAAACGGG